AAUUUUCAAUAUGUCAGCUAAUCAAGCUUAGGCAACAAAUAACAAAAUUACAAGCUUGCUUACAGCAAAUGUCCCCAGCUAAGCAGACUGAAGAGGAAACUGAAGAGCUGACCAACCAGGUCCUAGAUGAAAUUGGAGUUGAUGUUGCCUCUCUAUUAUCAGUAUCGCCCAAAGGAAGAAUUGUUGGAAAGAUGACCGAGGAUGCUAAUAGGUAUCUUGUGUUAUAUUAUAAGUAAAUUGACGAUCAAGAACUUAACGGCACGUGUUUUGUUCUUAGAGUCACAGGGUGUGGCUGGGAGUAUGAGCUUGAGAGAGGUGUCAGAUGCAUCUAGUGGGCAACAAGCUUCAAAAGAAAAUGAAUAGGUAUGCCAC